rnacentral:lncRNA from 1 species
UAUAUUCCAUUCCCAUUUACGAGACAAAAUAUUGUAAAAGUCAUUUGGUGCAUAAGGGCAGGGGAAAUUUUAGGAAAAAACUUCUUUUAAAUGUAGCCCCUAGAUGUUUACUGGAAAAAAAAAUGUAACCCCCUGAUGUUUUUCUUUCUUAUUUAUUUAUAUUUUUUUUUUUUUUUUUUUUUGAAAAGGNNNNNNNNNNNNNNNNNNNNNNNUUUUUUUUGAAAAGGUAACUUGUAUUAUAAACACAGGAAUACUCAGGACGUAUUCCAGUAAUACUUACAAUCAGAAAUACAAAAGUGAUGUUGUUUUCCUAUGAACUCCUUAAGGACUCUAACAUACUAGGGAUAUCCUCAUCUUCAUGAGGAUAUUCAUGUUUACACCAAAAAUAGAAAAGAGCUAAACAAUUCAGCUUCAUCUUCUCCAUAGAGCAGCUCUUGUUCUCAAAACAUCUUUGAUUCCUUUCCAGCCAAAUAGUCCACCAAAUGCAGGCUGGGACAAUCUUCCAUCUCUCCCUGUGCCCCGACUGAUUUCCAUCCCGAUUCCAACAUGCCAAAGCUUCCUUUAUGUUUCCUGGCAUAGACCAACUGAUGCCCCUUUUAUUGAUGAAAAUUUGCCAAAGUUUCACUGUCUCCUUACAGUGUAAAAAGAGAUGAUUUAUUGUCUCUGUCUCACAUUCACAAAAAAAACAUCUGGAGCACAAAUCGAGGCCCUUCUUCAUACGGUUAUCCUGCGUGAGAACAGCCUGUUUUGCUAAGAGCCAAGUAAAACAGGCCACCUUGAAGGGCACCUUAACUUUCCAGAUCAUUUUCCAUGGCCAGUAGCUUGAUUGAGUGUGUGUCCUUUGUGAGUUUCUGUAAGCUAUUCCAACUGAGAAUUUCCCCUGUGUAUCUGGAGCCCAUAUUAGUUUGUCUUCACUGUUACUGAGUUCCUUGUAUCGUUCCAGGAUAUUUAGUAAUUCAACCAUUCUAUUCACCUCCCAAUCAUUUAAAGGUCUUCUGAACUUUAAAUUCCAACCUUGAGCAUCUCUCAUUUCUUUGACAGUGGCCACUUUCUGUAGACUCAAGCUGAAUAGGUCAGGGAAACUAUCUUUAAGUGAAGCUUGUCCCGCCCAAACUUCCUCCCAAAAUAGAGUUUUUCCACCAUCUCCUAUCUUAAUUGUGCACUUGUUUAUAAGUUUUGGCCAUAGAUUCCUGAUUGUCCUCCACACUCCGGUGCCAUAUGGUUGUGUUGCUAUGUUGCUGAUCCACCUUGUCUCCAUUCCAUAUCUAGCCUUAAUGGUAUCUUUCCACAGCGACUGUUCUUGUGAUGCAAAUCUCCACAGCCAUUUCAUUAGCAGGCUGUGGUUUUGUAUUUUCAGAUUCCUUGUUCCUAGUCCCCCUUCUUUCUUGCUGACUAAAACUUCAUUCCACUUGACCAAGUGAAACUUGUGCUUAUUCAGAUCGCAGUUUCCUUGCCAAAGAAAAUUUCUUCUAAUGGCAUCUAAUCUGUCUCUUACACUUGCUGGCAUAGGGUACACCGACAUCAUGUAAGUAGGCAAAGCAUCAAGAACACUGUUGAUGAGAGUAGCUCUGCCACCCAGGGAUAAAUACUGACUUUUCCAGUUGGCAAGCUUCUUCUCACAUUUCUCCAGUACAUUGUUCCAUAUGCCUUUUGAUUUGCUCUUAUCUCCUAGAGGCAUUCCCAGAUAUAUUGUGGGCAGCUCCCCUAUCUUUCCUCCCAGAAUAUUUGCCAGAAUAUUUGCCAGACUGUCAAUUCUAGGUACCUCAUUGACUGGAUAGAUGUAACUUUUGCCCCAAUUAAUGUGUAGACCUGAAGUUGCUUCAAACAAUAUCAAUAUUAUUCUUAAAAACUUCAGUUGAUUGUUGUCUGCAUCACAAAAUAUUAGUGUGUCAUCUGCAUAUUGGAGAUGUGAGAUGGCUAGACUCUGUCUAUCCUCCAUGUUUGCAUUGAAUCCCCUUAUCCAGCUGUUUGUCUGGGCUGUUCUUAGCAUAUCAUUGAGACCCUCCAUUGCCAAGAUAAAGAGAAAAGGAGAUAAUGGAUCCCCUUGUCUCAAGCCUCUCUCAGAUGAGAAGAAACCUGUGGGAGAACCAUUAAUCAAAACUGAAAAUUUCACUGUAGUGGUGCAAAAUUUGAUCCAGUUUAUCCAUCUUUCCCCAAAACCCAUGUUUUCCAAAGUCUUCCAUAGGAAACCCCAAUUUAAGUGGUCAUAGGCUUUCUCUAUAUCCAGCUUACAAAGAAUGCCUGGGACCUUGCUAAUUUGUCUCACAUCUACACAUUCGUUGGCAAUCACAAUAGCAUCCAUGAUCUGCCUGCCCUUAAUAAAUGCCAUCUGAUGUGUAUCUACCAGUUUUGAAACAACUUUUUUCAGCCUCUCAGUCAACACUUUUGAGAUGAUCUUAUAUAUGCUACCUAUUAAGCUAAUAGGUCUAAAGUCUUUUAGUUCUUUGGCCCCCAAUUUUUUUGGGAUCAAGGCUAUGAAGGUGGCAUUGAAGCUUCUUUCAAAAAUGUUCUGAUUAUGAAAGUUCUGAACUGCUGCCACUACUUCUUUGCUUACUAUUUCCCAGCAGUUGGUGAAGAAUGCCAUGGUGAAUCCAUCCGGCCCAGGUGCCUUGUCCCUCGCAACAUAGCUAUGGCAAGUUGAAUGGUCUGGUUCCACUUAGUAGCCCAAAUCUGCGCAACCGAGAAGGUGAGAAUAUAUUCGGACAUGCACACUAGCCCCUAAAGCAGGCCUGGAAGACUAUGAAUCCCACCUUCUGUGCGAGCUGAAGGACGUAGGUGCACAAGAGUACCUUGUGCUACAACCAUCUCCUUUUUAUAGGUUCUACAGACCGAUGCCUGCUGCUUCAUCUUGGAGAAAAGAAUCACAGAUGUCUUUAGGAAUUGGUAGAGCAAGAAGCGUAACUAGAAGAUAACUUUCUUUCUGGCUUGUGCAAUUAUUCUUCUUGUUUUGGGGUGACAGCGGCAUCCAUUAUCUUUAUGAUUUCUCUGAUAGACAAAUCGUGGAGUACAAUAGCCUAUUAAAUUUGUUGAGUUCACUCCUUAUUUUGAAAAUAUAAUUCUGAAGGCAACAAUCUCCUUUCUAUUAAGUAGACUUGUUUAGCAAUGGAUGUCAUUAAAUUUUGCGAUCUUACUUAAGUGUUUUUUGGGUGGUGGUAGUGUGUGUGGGGGGGGGGGGGGGGGUCCUUCAACUGACUUAGGAUAUUCUGUUUUUGUAGUCCCAGGUUGCCUUGGCUAGUCCUACUCCACUCUUUUAGCUUGCCUUUCAAAUAUUUUAUUUUGUCAGCUAAAAUAUAAUCUGGUCUGCCUCUGCAAUGGUGAGAUUCCCACCAUACUUUUACUUUCUCCUUGAAAUUUUCUGUCUGCAGCCACCAGUUCUCGAAUUUGAAGAAAGAAUUUGAUCUCUCCCAAUUUCCACAUUCAAGAAUUAGGGGACAGUGAUCCGAUGUUACUCUAUGUAGGACUGAUUGCUUGAUGUUCCUAAAAGAGUUUUCCCAUGCUUCAGAAAUCAAAAAUCUGUCUAGUCUGGCUGCAACAUCAUGGCCUUCCCCUUUCUUCCAAGUAUACUUGUUCCCUGCUAAUUGUAAGUCCACUAGCUCCAUAUCCUCAAUGAACUCCGAAAAAUCCAUCAUGGCUUUAUUAUAUCUUGAACAGUUCUUCUUUUCUGAAGGAAAUCUAACGGUGUUAAAAUCUCCCACCACCACCCAAGGACCUGUGAAAAGUCCUCUUACAGCCCCUAGUUCCCACCAGACCUCCUCCCUUUCUAAUGUACUAUUUGGAGCGUAAACUCCUGUCAUAUGCCAACUGAGGUCCUGAGUUUUGCCCACAAAUUUACAAGUUAUACAAUAUGUACCUGUCUCACAUAUUUCCCCAUCCCACAGUCUGCUAUCCCACAUUAGAAUUAUGCCCCCUCUUGUGCCACUAGCUUCUAGUUGCACGUACUUCACCCAUCUGUUCGACCAUAAAUCUUUAAUGAUCUCCCUUAUAUCCCCUUGUAAUUUCGUCUCCUGAAAGCAGAAAACAUCAGCUUUCCAAUUGUGUAACAAACUUUUAAUCAGGAGUCUCUUCCUGGCAUCAUUGAGACCCCUCACGUUCCAAGAUAUGAUGUUAACCUUCAUUAAAUUGGACAAUGGUAUGUCCCCCCCUGCUUCUCGUGCCGUAGCUGAAAAAAUUGUUUCCAGAUUCCAACCUCUUCAGUUCCUUUGAUCCAUUACUUUUGGGAGUCAACGGAAUCAGAGCCUUCACUACUUCAAUGGGGUUUUGCCUCUUCCCAUCUAUCUUCAUGAACAAUUCCUCAGCUAACUCCUCAGAGUCGUUAAAAUGUACCUUUUUUAUCACCAGUAGAUAACACUAUUUGGUUUAGCUAACAUCAUAUCAUGUUUUUCAAAUUUCAAAAACACACGAGUUACUUUCCAAUUAAGUGAAGUCUGCUAUUUGAAUCCCAUCACCAAUAAAUUAACCAACUACUUAUAAUAUUCUUCCCACUUUCC